rnacentral:misc_RNA from 1 species
UACGGGGGGCAGCAGUGGGGAAUUUUUUGUGGACAAUGGGGAAACCUGAUCCAGCCAUCCCGCGUGUGCGAUGAAGGCCUUCGGGUUGUAAAGCACUUUUGGCAGGAAAACGGCACGGGAUAUUUACGUGCGGCGAAGCCAGUACCUGCAGAAUAAGCACCGGCUAACUACGUGCCAGCAGCCGCGGUAAUACUGCGUAGGGUGCAAGCGUUAAUCGGAAUUACUGGGCGUAAAGCGUGCGCGGGCGGUUCCGGAAGAAAGAUGUGAAAUCCCAGAGCUUAACUUUGGAACUGCAUUUUUAACUACCGAGCUAGAGUGUGUCAGAGGGGAGGUGGAAUUCCUACAGCGUGUGGCAGUGAAAUGCGUAGAUAUGCGGAGGGAACACCGAUGGCGAAGACGGCCCCUCCUGGGAUAGCACUGACGCUCAUGCACGAAAGCGUGGGGAGCAAACGGGAUUAGAUACCCUGGUAG